GAACGGCAGCGCGGGAGCAAUCCUGGCGGCGAGUGGCGAACGGGUGAGUAAUACAUCGGAACGUGCCCAAUCGUGGGGGAUAACGCAGCGAAAGCUGUGCUAAUACCGCAUAAGAUCUACGGAUGAAAGCAGGGGAUCGCAAGACCUUGCGCGACUGGAGCGGCCGAUGGCAGAUUAGGUAGUUGGUGAGGUAAAGGCUCACCAAGCCUUCGAUCUGUAGCUGGUCUGAGAGGACGACCAGCCACACUGGGACUGAGACACGGCCCAGACUCCUACGGGAGGCAGCAGUGGGGAAUUUUGGACAAUGGGCGCAAGCCUGAUCCAGCCAUGCCGCGUGCAGGAUGAAGGCCUUCGGGUUGUAAACUGCUUUUGUACGGAACGAAACGGUCCUUUCUAAUACAGGGGGCUAAUGACGGUACCGUAAGAAUAAGCACCGGCUACUACGUG
rnacentral:rRNA from 1 species